UACAGAGGUCUCAAGCGUUGUUCGGAUUCAUUGGGCGUAAAGGGUGCGUAGGCGGCGCGGUAAGUCGGGGUGUGAAAUCUCGGAGCUUAACUCCGAAACUGCAUUCGAUACUGCUGUGCUUGAGGACUGGAAAGGAGACUGGAAUUUACGGUGUAGCGGUGAAAUGCGUAGAUAUCGUAAGGAAGACCAGUGGCGAAGGCGGGUCCUCUGGACGAGUUCCUGACGCUGAGGCACGGAAGGCCAGGGGAGCAAACGGG
rnacentral:rRNA from 1 species